rnacentral:rRNA from 1 species
GACGAACGCUGGCGGCGUGCUUAACACAUGCAAGUCGAACGAAGAGCGAUGGAAGCUUGCUUCUAUCAAUCUUAGUGUCGAACGGGUGAGUAACGCGUAAUCAACCUGCCCUUCAGAGGGGGACAACAGUUGGAAACGACUGCUAAUACCGCAUACGAUCUAAUCUCGGCAUCGAGGAUAGAUGAAAGGUGGCCUCUACAUGUAAGCUAUCACUGAAGGAGGGGAUUGCGUCUGAUUAGCUAGUUGGAGGGGUAACGGCCAACCAAGGCGAUGAUAGGUAGCCGGUCUGAGAGGAUGAACGGCCACAUUGGGACUGAGACACGGCCCAGACUCCUACGGGAGGCAGCAGUGGGGAAUCUUCCGCAAUGGACGAAAGUCUGACGGAGCAACGCCGCGUGAGUGAUGACGGCCUUCGGGUUGUAAAGCUCUGUUAAUCGGGACGAAAGGCCUUCUUGCGAAUAGUGAGAAGGAUUGACGGUACCGGAAUAGAAAGCCACGGCUAACUACGUG